UUAGAGUUUGAUCCUGGCUCAAGACGAACUCUGGCGGCGCGCCUAACACAUGCAAGUCAAACGGAGCUUAUAGAGCUUGCUUUUUAAGCUUAGUGGAGAACGGGUGAGUAACGCGUGAGUAACCUGCCCUAGAGUGGGGGACAACAGUUGGAAACGACUGCUAAUACCGCAUAACCCCACGGUACCGCAUGGCACUGAGGGAAAAGGAUUUAUUCGCUUUAGGAUGGACUCGCGUCCAAUUAGCUAGUUGGUGAGGUAACGGCCCACCAAGGCGACGAUUGGUAGCCGGACUGAGAGGUUGAACGGCCACAUUGGGACUGAGACACGGCCCAGACUUCUACGGGAGGCAGCAGUGGGGGAUAUUGCACAAUGGGGGAAACCCUGAUGCAGCGACGCCGCGUGAGGAAGAAGGUUUUCGGAUUGUAAACUCCUGUCGUUAGGGACGAUAAUGACGGUACCUAACAAGAAAGCACCGGCUAACUACGUGCCAGCAGCCGCGGUAAAACGUAGGGUGCAAGCGUUGUCCGGAAUUACUGGGUGUAAAGGGAGCGCAGGCGGGAAGACAAGUUGGAAGUGAAAACCAUGGGCUCAACCCAUGAAUUGCUUUCAAAACUGUUUUUCUUGAGUAGUGCAGAGGUAGAUGGAAUUCCCGGUGUAGCGGUGGAAUGCGUAGAUAUCGGGAGGAACACCAGUGGCGAAGGCGGUCUACUGGGCACCAACUGACGCUGAGGCUCGAAAGCAUGGGUAGCAAACAAAAUUCGAUCCCCUGGUAGUCCAUGCCGUAAACGAUGAUUACUAGGUGUUGGGGGAUUGACCCCCUCAGUGCCGCAGUUAACACAAUAAGUAAUCCACCUGGGGAGUACGACCGCAAGGUUGAAACUCAAAGGAAUUGACGGGGGCCCGCACAAGCAGUGGAGUAUGUGGUAUAAUUCGAAGCAACGCGAAGAACCUUACCAGGUCUUGACAUCCGAUGCAUAGCACAGAGAUGUGUGAAAUCCUUCGGGACAUCGAGACAGGUGGUGCAUGGUUGUCGUCAGCUCGUGUCGUGAGAUGUUGGGUUAAGUCCCGCAACGAGCGCAACCCUUAUUGCCAGUUACUACGUUAAGAGGACUCUGGCGAGACUGCCGUUGACAAAACGGAGGAAGGUGGGGAUGACGUCAAAUCAUCAUGCCCUUUAUGACCUGGGCUACACACGUACUACAAUGGCGUUAAACAAAGAGAAGCAAGACCGCGAGGUGGAGUAAAACUCAAAAACAACGUCUCAGUUCAGAUUGCAGGUUGCAACUCGCCUGCAUGAAGUCGGAAUUGCUAGUAAUCGCGGAUCAGCAUGCCGCGGUGAAUACGUUCCCGGCCCUUGUAC
rnacentral:rRNA from 1 species